rnacentral:misc_RNA from 1 species
GAUGAAGAACGCAGUGAAAUGCGAUAAGUAAUGUGAAUUGCAGAAUUCAGUGAAUCAUCGAAUCUUUGAACGCACAUUGCGCCCGCGAGUAUUCUCGCGGGCAUGCCUGUCCGAGCGUCAUUUCAACCCUCAGGGCCCGCCUGCUUCGGCAGGCGCGGCGCUGGUGUUGGGGAUCGGCCUAACCGCCGUCCCCCAAAUACAGUGGCGGUCUCGCUGCAGCCUCCCCUGCGUAGUAGCAACACUCGCAUGCGGAGCGCGGCGCGGCCACGCCGUAAAACCCCCGACUUUCUGAACGUUGACCUCGGAUCAGGUAGGAAUACCUGCUGAACUUAAGCAUAUCAAUAAGCGGAGGA